rnacentral:rRNA from 1 species
GAGUUGUUGCUGGCCCCUCAACGGGGGGCAUGUGCACGCUCUGUUAACACAUCCACUCACACCUGUGCACACUCCGUAGUUCUAUGGUCUGGGGGACGCACCGUCUUCCUCCUGUGGUUCUACGUCUUUACACAUACACCGUACUAAAGUCUUAGGAAUGUUUACCGCGUCUAACGCAAUACAAUACAACUUUCAGCAACGGAUCUCUUGGCUCUCGCAUCGAUGAAGAACGCAGCGAAAUGCGAUAAGUAAUGUGAAUUGCAGAAUUCAGUGAAUCAUCGAAUCUUUGAACGCACCUUGCGCCCCUUGGCUAUUCCGAGGGGCAUGCCUGUUUGAGUAUCAUGAACACCUCAACUCUUGUGGUUCACCAUAAAGAGCUUGGACUUGGGGGUUUGCUGGCAUACAGCCAGCUCCUCUCAAACAAAUUAGCCUGCCAGUGUUUGGUGGCAUCACGGGUGUGAUAACUAUCUACGCUUGUGGUUGCCUGCCAGGUAACCUUUGGUGACGAAGGUUCGCUGGAGCUUAUAAAUGUCUCUCCUUGGCGAAGACAGCUUUUUGAACGUUCGAUCUCAAAUCAGGUAGGACUACCCGCUGAACUUAAGCAUAUC